UACAGAGGGUGCAAGCGUUAAUCGGAAUUACUGGGCGUAAAGCGUGCGUAGACGGUUAUGUAAGUCAGAUGUGAAAGCCCCCGGGCUUAACCUGGGAAUGGCAUUUGAGACUGCAUAGCUAGGGUGCGGAAGAGGGAAGCGGAAUUUCCGGUGUAGCGGUGAAAUGCGUAGAUAUCGGAAGGAACACCAGUGGCGAAAGCGGCUUCCUGGUCCAGCACCGACGUUCAGGCACGAAAGCGUGGGGAGCAAACAGG
rnacentral:rRNA from 1 species